rnacentral:rRNA from 1 species
GACGAACGCUGGCGGCGUGCUUAACACAUGCAAGUCGAGCGGUAAGGCCUUUCGGGGUACACGAGCGGCGAACGGGUGAGUAACACGUGGGUGAUCUGCCCUGCACUCUGGGAUAAGCUUGGGAAACUGGGUCUAAUACCGGAUAUGACCGCAUGCCGCAUGGUGUGUGGUGGAAAGAUUUAUCGGUGCAGGAUGGGCCCGCGGCCUAUCAGCUUGUUGGUGGGGUAAUGGCCUACCAAGGCGACGACGGGUAGCCGACCUGAGAGGGUGACCGGCCACACUGGACUGAGACACGGCCCAGACUCCUACGGGAGGCAGCAGUGGGGAAUAUUGCACAAUGGGCGGAAGCCUGAUGCAGCGACGCCGCGUGAGGGAUGAAGGCCUUCGGGUUGUAAACCUCUUUCAGCAGGGACGAAGCGUGAGUGACGGUACCUGCAGAAGAAGCACCGGCUAACUACGUGCCAGCAGCCGCGGUAAUACGUAGGGUGCGAGCGUUGUCCGGAAUUACUGGGCGUAAAGAGUUCGUAGGCGGUUUGUCGCGUCGUUUGUGAAAACCCGGGGCUCAACUUCGGGCUUGCAGGCGAUACGGGCAGACUUGAGUGUUUCAGGGGAGACUGGAAUUCCUGGUGUAGCGGUGAAAUGCGCAGAUAUCAGGAGGAACACCGGUGGCGAAGGCGGGUCUCUGGGAAACAACUGACGCUGAGGAACGAAAGCGUGGGUAGCAAACAGGAUUAGAUACCCUGGUAGUCCACGCCGUAAACGGUGGGCGCUAGGUGUGGGUUCCUUCCACGGGAUCUGUGCCGUAGCCAACGCAUUAAGCGCCCCGCCUGGGGAGUACGGCCGCAAGGCUAAAACUCAAAGGAAUUGACGGGGGCCCGCACAACCGGCGGAACAUGGGGGAUAAAU